UACGGAGGGGCUAGCGUUGUUCGGAAUUACUGGGCGUAAAGCGCGCGUAGGCGGACCUGCAAGUCGGGGGUGAAAGCCCGAGGCUCAACCUCGGAACUGCCUUCGAUACUGCGGGUCUCGAGUCCGGGAGAGGUGAGUGGAAUUCCUAGUGUAGAGGUGAAAUUCGUAGAUAUUAGGAAGAACACCAGUGGCGGAAGGCGGCUCACUGGCCCGGUACUGACGCU
rnacentral:rRNA from 1 species